rnacentral:rRNA from 1 species
UACGGGGGGAGCAAGCGUUGUUCGGAUUUACUGGGCGUAAAGGGCGCGUAGGCGGCCACCGCAAGUCGACUGUGAAAUCUCCGGGCUUAACCCGGAAAGGUCAGCCGAUACUGCGGGGCUAGAGUGCAGAAGGGGCAACUGGAAUUCUUGGUGUAGCGGUGAAAUGCGUAGACAUCAAGAGGAACACCUGCGGCGAAGGCGGGUUGCUGGGCCGACACUGACGCUGAGGCGCGAAAGCUAGGGGAGCGAACGGG